AUUGAACGCUGGCGGCAGGCCUAACACAUGCAAGUCGAACGAGUGGCGGACGGGUGAGUAAUGUCUGGGAACCUGCCCGAUGGAGGGGGAUAACUACUGGAAACGGUAGCUAAUACCGCAUACCAUCGGAUGUGCCCAGAGUGGAGUAGAUAGUAGGUGGGGUAACGUCUCACCGAGGCGACGAUCCCUAGGUGGUCUGAGAGGAUGACCAGCCACUCGGGAAAGGAGACGCGGUCCAGAAUCCUACGUGAGGCAGCAGUGGGGAAUAUUGCACAAUGGGCGCAAGCCUGAUGCAGCCAUGCCGCGUGUAUGAAGAAGGCCUUCGGGUUGUAAAGUACUUCCAGCGAGGAGGCGUUACCCGCAAAAGAAGCACCGGCUAACUCCGUGCCAGCCGCCGCGGUAAUUC
rnacentral:rRNA from 1 species